rnacentral:misc_RNA from 1 species
AGAAGAAGCAGUUGGCCAAAUGUUAGGCACUGUGAAUCUUGUCAUGGGCUCAUCUUCAGCCGCCAUGGCUACUCCAACGCAUUCUGCUGCCGUGAAAUCUCUUGCGAGCUCCAGAAUUGGUCACCACAACCACUGCCGGACUCUUCCAUUGCCUUUGGGAUUGCCUUCUGCUUCUAUUUCCAGCUCCUGCUUCUUGUCUCCG